CUGUCGUAAGUAUGAUAAAUUGUAUACCUUAAAAUCUACAAAGCAUUCCAUUUUAUACAAUAAAUUGACUAUAACGUACAAGUCUAACAAUGUGUUUUAAAGUAUACUGUAAAUUUAUGUAAAACAAUAAAUUUCUAUAGCAAAGAGUCUACACUAAAGCCACACGUUCAAACACAGUUUCGUUACAAACAAGCUCUUUUGAAUGGAAAUUUGAAAAUGAAUACAUUAACAAUAUUGCACAUCUUCUAUCGUUAAGGAGAACCGCAACUUUUAUUAUUUUUCACGUUUUUAUUAGAUCUGAUUUCGUCUACUAGUAUUUUACAUAUGCAUUGAAUAAUUAUAACACUAUGAACGAAUGAAAUGUUUUCAGCUUUUUUGGGACCAACUUCAGCGGCUUCAACAAGUUCUGAGUCGGGGUCUAUACUUCCAAUUAUAAUAGGAGCGGUGUUUGGUAUUCUUGCAAUAGCAAUUGUUAUUGCAAUUUUAAUAUAUUGCUUCAAGUGCAAGAAAAGGUCAGAGGUGAAUCACAACGAUACAGAAAAACGACGAUUGCCAGACGAUGGAGACAACACAAAUCCUGCACUGAAUGAAACUCCAGCUGGAAGACACACUACCCUCACACCAUUGCCACCAAAACACGACGUAAUUGAUAACACUCCGCGUCCUAUCCCACCAAUCACAAAUCACGUGUGAGAGUAGGCAUGUUCUCACGACUUCUAUAGUUAUUACAUUGUUUGUUUUUACACACAACCUUUUUCUGUAACGAAGAUCAUGUUAGUUAAAAAGAUUUUUGCACGAUUUAACAUGUUGAAAUCAUUUAAACACUACUGUUUUAAUGAACAUUCGAGUCAACAUUCGUUUUCACUGUUUAAAAGCAAAAUAUUUUUAUUCUGAAUUGCCAUUUAGUAGAGUUCAGUAAGUGUUGAGUGCACUAGUGCAGAAACGUAUUAAAACACUAUCAAGUUAAAUAUCAUAAACUAUAUCAUAAUCAUUCAUCUAAAGGAUCUUAGGAAAACUUCUAAAUAUGUGCUGACUGAAUAAGCGAACAGUGUAGACUAUGAUAAUUAUUAACAGAUGUGUCAGCUGAUCUUGGUCUGCACCGUCCGCACCGGUUGGGACUGUUGCCGUUAGCAGGCUUUACAGGUUAAGGUAAAUGAAAUAUCAAGGGGUAUAAAGAAGGGCAAUGGACAACUAGAUAGAUUCAUACAUUAUCUUAUCUGAAAUAACAAGUCUCAAAAAAUUAAAUUUUAUUACUGGUUUCGUUAAUCUUAUGGUCUCUUUUAUCGAAAGAAUUGUACCAUAGAAUUUCUCUAUUUUCAAUACACACGAAUCGUGUACGUAAACAGAAAAAAAUAUGUUUGUCAAAAAUAAUGUUAUGCUGCAAAUACUUCAAAAGGAGAUUAACCGUUAAGCAAUGAUUUCCGAAGUGCGCCAUUCCCUCAGAAUGAAAUAUACAAAAACUCUUCUUUUAUAUAAGUAUGUUAGAAUAAUCUAUUUUCAAAAGUCACCCACAGGUUUUCAACUACAGACAUAAAUCAAAAUAGCCUUUCAUACUUUAAUUAGGGUACUACGAUCGAGUGUCAGUUAAUAACUUGAGUUUGAUUUUAGUGAAAUAUGAAAACAAAAGUAAAAGACCUUUCUAAAAAGGCAUAUUGUCGUAGAUUUAUCAAUUGUAUUUACGUACAAUUUGUUACAAUUGUAUACGCGUACAUUUUGAUAACUUUAGUCAAGUUGCAUGCCUUAAUUGCGUUAGAGAAAAAUAAACGCACUUUGUAUGGGAGAUGCUUGCUAAUGUUGUUAAGUUCAAAGGCGCUUGUACACAAUUUGAAUGUUUAAUAAUCAUCCAAUGAAUUGCUUGAACCAUUUGCAUGUAUUUAAUUCACCUAAUUCUUCUUUAACCUGUCCAUCACAAUUUGAUUUCACCCUUUUUUUAAAAAAUAUGUGUGAUUUGCGGUGUUUUUUUCUGAAUGUAUUUCAUUUUUAGAAAAAAGAAAGUACAUAUUUGUACAUAUACAUUAACGCAUGAACUCUAAUGUUUUUACGUAUUCCAUUAUAUUCCAAAUGCACAUCAUAGUUAGAAAUGGUGUUCAUAGAAUUAAUUACUUUCGAGUUAAAGCGCUUGAUAAAUAGAAUUCACAGAUUUAAAUAAGCAUCAAAAGUUUGGAAUGCCUGUUUUAAUUAAAAAAAACUACUUACGAAAUAACAACCUUAUAAUAAGAUAAUUACCAUGGAAACUGUAUUCUUUAUAAAUCUAUUAAUAAGUAUCAUUCUGGAUAUAUAUUGUUGUAAAAUUCACAAUUUUUAUGUAUGUAUAAAUUUAACUUAGUUUAAUUUAAUUGCAUUUGUUCAAAAAAGAGAAGUGACUGAUGAUCCUUAAAGAACAAUAUCGCUGAAAUAACGGUUUGAAAGAAAAACAGUAAAAAAUGAUAUAGUCCAUCCUUUGAUUACAGGGUCAAUAACAACAUACAUAAGCAGUUGAAGCUAUACCAAUGGCGAAAUACGAUGAAUGUAUAUAUUACUUCAUAAUAUUCAAAGAAGAAUGUUUUGAAAAAGUGCAUGUGAAUUUCUACCGUGAUGACGUUUUAACAAAAAUGAAUAAUUAUUUCAGUACAUUAUUUUUUACGUUAAUAUUGUGAUCUUCUUUUUGUCAUUGCAAGUUUGUGAUUAUUUAUUGAAAGGUUAUGCCUUUUGCCUUUUUUGAUAAUUCGAGGAAUUUAUACAUAAGAUGUUUAAAGCAUUCGGAAAUAUUCAGAUUGAAAAAUGACACGUCAUAUGUAUAGAACUUUCUAUGUUAUUUUGCUAUAUCUUAUACUUACAAGUCUCUGAAUUUGAAGAAAACUAUUAGUAAUUAUGUGAGUGUAGAUAGAUGUUCAAGUGUUUCUUAAUUUGUUGUUGAGCAGUGUUGUUAAAAAUAUACAUUAAUUAGUAAUUAACCUACUUAAGGUUUGCAAUUGGCUUGAUGUUUUUUUUGAUAACUUUUGUCCGUUCAUUAAUUAUUUAAGAAAAAUAUAAAGCAAACUAUGAAUUAAACAGCUACCAGUAUGAAUUUUUUUUAUUAGACUUUUUGGGCAUGCAGGCUGACCAGGCUCUAUAGUUGUAUUAUUUGCAAGUCAUUCAUUACUUGCCGCUUUCACCUGUAUUGUCAAUGUUUUAAACUGAGUGUGUCCCAUUGAAGAUUCUAUUUUAUAACUGUGAUAAUUUAUACUAUUUAUUUUUCAUUUUAUUGUUUUCGCAUGUUUUUGUUUUUUUGUAUUCUUCUUUGAAAUAAAACAGUUUUGAAUUGUG